GUGCAGCAGGCGAGAAUACUGUGCAAUGCGCGAAAGCGCGACACGGGGAACCUGAGUGCCUUGACACAGUCAAGGCUUUUAUCAAGCCUAAAAAGCUUGAUGAAUAAGAGCUGGGUAAGACGGGUGCCAGCCGCCGCGGUAACACCCGCAGCUCUAGUGGUGGUCACUUUUAUUGAGCCUAAAGCGUUCGUAGCCGGUUCUGUAAAUCUUCAGAUAAAUUCAUUCGCUCAACGGAUGAUCUUCUGAAGAGACUGUAGAACUUGGGACCGGGUGAGGUUGAAUGUACUUCUGGGGUAGGGGUAAAAUCCUGUAAUCCUAGAAGGACAACCGGUGGCGAAGGCGUUCAACUAGGACGGAUCCGACGGUGAGGAACGAAGGCUAGGGGAGCAAACCGGAUUAGAUACCCCUGUAGUCC
rnacentral:rRNA from 1 species